UUCAUGUAGAUCUUGCUUAAGUCAUUUCUACUGGCUUUUAAUAUUUUUGAGUUAUAAAUGAGUGCUCCUCCUUCUGUAUCAUACAACUCUUCUGGUUGUGGUGGUUUAAAUAAAAAUGGCCCCCAUAGGCUCAUAGAGAGAGACACUGUUAAGGGGCGUAGCCUUGUUGAAGUAGGUAUAGCUUUGUUGGAGGAAAUGUGUCACUGGGGGUGGGCUUUGCGGCCUUAGAAGUUCCAGACAGGCCUAGUGGCUCAUUGUCUCUUCCUACUGCCUGUGAAUCCAGAUGUGGAACUCUUGGCUACCUCUCCAGGACCGUGUCUACCUGCGUGCCACCAUGCUUUGCCGUGAUCAUGAGGUCUCUUCACAGCAAUAGAACCCUAACUAAGACACUGUUCUAGGCUGUGACAUCAUCUGAAGUCAUGUGACCGGAGGUCAGUCGUCCCGAAAAUUUUGGGAACAAUACAAGAUUUCUGAACACGCAACCACCAAAAACUAAUUCGAAAUCAAACAUGGAAUGAGUUCACGGUGUCCCUGCUGGCAGGUGCCCGAGCUGCAUCACGUGACUUCACUGCAGUCUGCGUAUUCUGCCCUGUGCAUGUUGCCACACCACACAGUGUCAGCGAACACUGGCCCUGACAUUUCUGCUUAGACUCGACAGAUUUUGCACAUUCUCAUCUUCAGUGUUUUCACAGGACAUGAAAAUUUCCUGCUUUUCUAGACAGGUAGUAAUUUAAUUACAGAAGGCAAAGAGUUUCAGACACUCCUUGCCAUGUUCCUCAGCAUGUAAGUAUCAGAUUAAUAUGCUUUUGAGUUGUACGGUGUUAGAGUGAUUUUGAAAAUUUUCCUGUUUGAGUUACUGACUUGAGGUUCACAAGAAAAAAAAAUCACUAAGUGAAUUCUGGCUCGAUAUUAAGACGCGAUCUUGAAUAAUUACUGAAUUCUCUCUGAAUUUGUGCCUGUCCUUUGUAUUUACACAGCAUGUACUCAAUGUUGAUGCCUAUAAAAUCAAAAUAGUAAGCAACUCUGAAAAA